rnacentral:rRNA from 1 species
AAUACGACUCUCGGGAACGGAUAUCUCGGCUCUCGCAUCUAUGAGGAACGUAGCGAAAUGCGAUACUUGGUGUGAAUUGCAGAAUCCCGUGAACCAUCGAGUCUUUGAACGCAAGUUGCGCCCCAAGCCGUUAGGCCGAGGGCACGUCUGCCUGGGUGUCACGC